UGAGGGAUAAAAUUUAAUUAAAAAUGUAUAGUAUUUUUGAAUGGAGGGAUUACUUCUUUAAUUAAAUCUAACAAUCCUUGAGUCUAGCGGAUUACUAUCAAAAUAAUGCAAGUAGUGGGAAGGUGGAAUUAAAACAAGUAGAAGCACAAUCUUUGAGUUGGUGAUUGGACCGUCCUUGGAAGAUCCACCACCAUACCACCAACUCCAUUCCCAACCCGUUCCUGUCAACGUCUCUGUCUCUCUCCCUCACUCACAGUUCGUCAAAGCCUCUCGUGUUGGCGUUUGGCGAUCAACAGAGACAAGGGAAACAGUGUGUCGGUAAUUAAGUCACUGCUACGCCAUACCAUGUCAAGCUCAACUUUGGCUCUCACUCUUCCUCACAUGCAUUGGAUUCCUUUCUCUUCAGAUGUUCUAAUACAAACUUCAAAAUCAAAACAGGGUUCCCAAAGGAAAAUCCAACAUCCUUUCGUUCAACUUGCCCAUUUUUUAAUAUUUUAACAUGUCUAGUUUAUAAUUCAUGUUGCAAGAGAGUCUUCAAUUCAUAAUUAAAUAAUAUUAUGAAAUAUUUCGUUGGGUUUA